CGGCUGCUGCUGUUGCUGAUUCGGAUCGUGGAAAUGGAGUCGUGAGUUAGAUCCCUUCCCGUAUUGCUGCUGAGUUAGAGACAUACCAGCUAUAGGUAGUUGUAGUUUUUUAUUCUUAUACAUACUGAUGUUGUACCUCGCCGGAGCAAGUGUUUUUGUACCAAGUUACUAUGUAUGUAUUUGAACCGAUGUUAUUUAUACAUAUUUUUCUUUUUAGUAGCUCUAUACUACUGGUUGUAGUAUUGUAUGAUUACAGGUACAGGUACAGCUAUCGCUUGGUAUACAGAAGAAAUUCCUUUGUAUACGGUGGAUUUGUCGGCGUGCCCGAAGAAACGAGUAAUCCGGGGCAUGACAAAAUUAGUACUAAAAAAUUUUCUAAAAUUAGAGAUUUUAUGAGGAUUAGACUUGGGGAAUUUUUUAUAUAUAUAAAUAGAGUGAAAAGCUUAUUUAAAUAGAGAGUUUUUGGUUAAAGAAAAAUUUAUUUAGAUCUGUGUAAUCUUUCUAGGGCAUGUGUAGCCCUAUAGCUUGUGUGAAUUUUCUCUUCUUGUUUCUCUUUGUCCUUCUUUCUGUUUUACCCUUCCCCUCUCUACCCGUUGCUAUCAUACCUGCAGUUAUACGGUACUAUAUAUUAGGUAGCGUUUGGUUUGGAAACAAGGGGGGAAAUAAGCUUUGUUUCCUACUUUGUUCCCAAAUGGUGCGUUUGGUACUCGGAAAUAGUAGUUUUCAAGUUUCUGAAAUAAGCUGGUAUAAGGGUGGAAUUGCUGUUCCAUUUUUUUUCCUGAAACAAGUUUGUUCCUAUGUGAGAACAAGGUCAAUUAAAGUCUAAAUUUAAUUUUAAAUAUGAUAUUAAAUCAUUAAUUAAUCUAAUUAAUAUAUGUAAAUAGUUAUUUAUUGCUUAAAUAAUAAAAUAAAUCAAUAAUUAAUUACUUAUAAUUAUCAAUUAAAUUAUUAUUAUUUAUAAUUAUUAAUAAUUAACUAAUUAAUUAAUUAAUUUAUAAUUAAAUAAUUUAUUAUUAAUUAAUUACUUUAUUAUUAAUUAAUUAUUUAAUUUAUUAUUAAUUAAUCAUAUUUAAUUAGUUUAUUUAAUUUAUUAUUAAUUAUAGUUAAAUAAUUUAAUUUAUUAUUAUUUAUAAUUAAUUAAUUAAUUAAUUAUGUUAAUUAAUAAAUUUAUAAUUUAUAAUUAUUAACAAUUUAUAAUUUUUUCAUAAUUAUUAAUAAUUUAUUAUUAUUUAUAAUUAUUAAUAGCUAAUUAAUUAGUUUAUUAUUAUUUAAUUAAUGUUUUAUUUAUAAUUAUUAUUAAUUUAUUAUUUAACAUAUAUUAUCUAAUUAAUUUAUUAUUAAUAAUUUAUUAAUAUUUAAUAAUUUAUUACUUAUAAUUAUUUAUUAUUAAUUAAUUAAUUUAUUAUUAUUAAUUAAUUCAUUUAUAAUUUAUCUAAUUAAUUUACUAUUAACUAAUUAAUUUAUAAUUUAUAAUUAUAUCUCUUAUUCUCUUUAUUUCAAUCUAACAAUUCAAAUACUAUUUGCCUUAUUUUUAAGAACAACCAAAUUUUCAUCUAAACGCAAAAUUGGUCUAGUUCCUAUUAUAUCUAAACUUGUACCUAUUACUGGAAUAAGCACUUCUUACUUAUACCCAAACCAAACGUAGCCUAAUAUAGUAUUUUUAGCUUGCAUCAGUUGGUAUUACAGCCGAAAAAAAUUUCUAUCGGAACAAAAAAUUCCUUCAUUAGAGCCAAAAGAUUUUCUAUUGGAGUAAAAGUUGAUUUUAAAAUAUAUUCAAAACUAUUCCUUCACCUACUUUGAUUAUGGAUUCUAUUCCUGUUGCUUCUUCUUUCUGAUGUUCUGAAAAUUGGUGGCAUUUAUAUCGAGUACAAUUGAUAAACAGAUUUUCCAUAAUCUUACCUACCGUCCCUAGAGCAAGUGGCAAAGGAUUUGGUGGUUGGUAUUCGAAACCCAAGUUCGAAUCUUAGUUGAUUCACAUUUCUAGCUAAGUUUAUUUUUAAAUGAAAUAAACGAAGCGGGCAGCGCGCUACCUAUCUCUAAAAAAAAAACUUUUCCAUAAUCUUAUGUCAAAAAACU
rnacentral:lncRNA from 1 species